rnacentral:rRNA from 1 species
AUUGAACGCUGGCGGCAGGCCUAACACAUGCAAGUCGAGCGGAUGAAGGGAGCUUGCUCCUGGAUUCAGCGGCGGACGGGUGAGUAAUGCCUAGGAAUCUGCCUGGUAGUUGGGGAUAACGUCCGUAAACGGGCGCUAAUACCGCAUACGUCCUGAGGGAGAAAGUGGGGGAUCUUCGGACCUCACGCUAUCAGAUGAGCCUAGGUCGGAUUAGCUAGUUGGUGGGGUAAAGGCCUACCAAGGCGACGAUCCGUAACUGGUCUGAGAGGAUGAUCAGUCACACUGGAACUGAGACACGGUCCAGACUCCUACGGGAGGCAGCAGUGGGGAAUAUUGGACAAUGGGCGAAAGCCUGAUCCAGCCAUGCCGCGUGUGCGAAGAAGGUCUUCGGAUUGUAAAGCACUUUAAGUUGGGAGGAAGGGCAGUAAGUUAAUACCUUGCUGUUUUGACGUUACCAACAGAAUAAGCACCGGCUAACUUCGUG